UGCCAGCAGCCGCGGUAAUACGGAGGGUGCAAGCGUUAUCCGGAAUCACUGGGUUUAAAGGGUGCGUAGGCGGCGUUAUAAGUCGGAAGUGAAAGCCCCCAGCUUAACUGGGGAACUGCUUUUGAUACUGUAGUGCUUGAAUCACGUUGAGGUUAGCGGAAUGUGACAUGUAGCGGUGAAAUGCAUAGAUAUGUCAUAGAACACCAAUUGCGUAGGCAACUGACUAGGCGUGUAUUGACGCUGAGGCACGAAAGCGUGGGGAGCGAAUGGGAUUAGAUA
rnacentral:rRNA from 1 species